GUUCCAUCUUCCUGUUCCAAACCACGUGGACGCGCGCUGGGCACUGCGGGGCAACAACGGCGGUGCCGCGACCAUAACAACGAGGCGCUUUGCACGCUGCCGGCGAGCUCCCUGGCUGGUGCUUGGCGGGGCUCCUCGCUGCUGCCCUAGCAGCGGCAACAUGGCGAGCCAGCCUCACUCCCUCAGUUAUGUUGGCUGCAACUUUUUGCGGCAGCGGCUGGUGCUUUCCACGCUGAGCGGGCGGCCGGUGAAAAUCCGCAGGAUCCGGGCCAAGGAUGACAACCCCGGCCUCAGAGAUUUUGAAGCAAAUUUUAUAAGGCUGAUUGACAAAAUAACCAAUGGAUCUAGGAUUGAAAUUAACCAAACAGGCACUACUUUAUAUUACCAGCCUGGCCUGCUCUAUGGAGGGUCGCUAGAACAUGAUUGUAGUCCCAACCGAAGUAUUGGUUAUUAUUUGGAAAGUCUUCUCUGCUUAGCACCGUUCAUGAAACACUCCUUAAGAAUUAUUCUCAGAGGCGUAACAAAUGAUCAAGUAGAUCCUUCGGUGGACGUUCUCAAGGCAACUGCUCUGCCCUUAUUGAAAAGGUUUGGAAUUGAUGGAGAAGAGUUAGAAUUGAAGAUCACUAGAAGGGGUAUGCCACCCAAAGGAGGUGGUGAAGUGAUAUUUACUUGUCCUGUUAAGAAAGCAGUAAAGCCUGUUCAGUUUACUGACCCUGGCAAAAUUAAGCGUAUCAGAGGUGUGGCGUAUUCUGUGAGAGUAUCACCCCAGAUUGCAAAUCGGAUUGUGGAUUCUGCAAGGAACAUCCUGAAUAAAUUCCUGCCAGAUAUUUACAUUUACACAGAUCACAUGAAGGGAACCAGCUCUGGGAAGUCUCCAGGUUUUGGGUUGUCCCUUGUGGCAGAGACUACUAAUGGUGUGUUCCUUAGUGCAGAGCUGGCCUCUAACCCCCAGGGGGAGGGUGUUGCUGUCCUCCCGGAAGACCUUGGCACAAACUGCGCAAAAUUACUACUUGAAGAGAUUUACAGGGGAGGCUGUGUGGAUUCAACAAACCAAAGCUUAGUUCUCCUCCUCAUGACCCUUGGACAGCAGGACGUUUCCAAAGUCCUAUUAGGAACCCUGUCGCCGUACACAAAGAAUGGGGAUGAAGAGAAGCAGUCACCUGUCCUGCUGAAGACAUCUGUAAUACUUUUUCACUCCUGUUCACAAGAUACGGAUGGACCACAACAUCAGUGGUCAAAGAGAGCUGAAGAAUUGGUGGAGGGCAAUUUAUGGAAAUAGAGAAAAGUUAGAAAAGGGUCUCAGUUCAAUGGGCUUAUGUGCCCUUGCGGAAAUACUAAAUGUGAUGAAGAACAUGCUGAAGAUGUAAAAAAAAAAUCAAAGAAAACACUCCAUCCAAGAAAAGAAAAUCAAAGAAACACUCCACGUGGGCAACGCUAAGCAUGUUCAUCUUAGCCUUUUUCACCCCAAAAUAUUUUUUUGAUAAUUUUAACUGCUUUUGUCUGUUUUCAUUUAUGUGCUAUAAGUAGUGUAGCAGCUUUUGAGUUUGAGGAGUGUGGAAGAUACUUAUUUUAACAAGGGUGGUAUAAUUAAUUGUCACUGCUGGAGAGAUCUCAGAACAGGCUGCAUUGUUCCUUUUUAAAACACUGACUCUCCAGGUCUACUUGCAAGCCCCAUGGAUCUUCCAGGAAUUGAGUUUCUGCGACAUUUGAGAAGCUAUUUCCAGAUUAUGUUUAAAAUUGAAGUGAAGCCAUCUGAUGAAGAGCGCAAAGGUGGAG